ACUGCUCUGAUGUGAUUGGACGAGAGAACUGCGAUAGAUUUUGUCGUAAUGGAACAUGUCUCCAAGUUUCACCUUUCUCCUUCAAAUGUGUGUGUUACACAGGACAACCAGGUCCACCUUGUGGGACAUCUUGUGAUCCCAACCCAUGUAGGAAUGGCGGAGAGUGUGAGGAGAGCUCCGAGAGCGUCGCUGGAUAUGCUUGUGCUUGUCUGGAGGGAUUCACGGGCCUCCGCUGUGACACCCCCGUUAACAUCAAUUGCCUUUCAUACGAAUGUCAGCGGGAAAAGGCGUGCUCCUUGGGGGAACAUACCUCUCCUGAGUGUGCAGCCUCAGUCUGGCAGUGUUCAGAUGGCACCACAGGCCCACAGUGCAGGAGGCAGCGAGGCCCGUGCAGCCCUUCGCCCUGCCACAACAACGCCAGCUGUUUAGUCCAAGGAGAGGAC